AUUGAACGCUGGCGGCAGGCCUAACACAUGCAAGUCGAGCGGAUGAAGGGAGCUUGCUCCUGGAUUCAGCGGCGGACGGGUGAGUAAUGCCUAGGAAUCUGCCUGGUAGUGGGGGAUAACGUCCGGAAACGGGCGCUAAUACCGCAUACGUCCUGAGGGAGAAAGUGGGGGAUCUUCGGACCUCACGCUAUCAGAUGAGCCUAGGUCGGAUUAGCUAGUUGGUGGGGUAAAGGCCUACCAAGGCGACGAUCCGUAACUGGUCUGAGAGGAUGAUCAGUCACACUGGAACUGAGACACGGUCCAGACUCCUACGGGAGGCAGCAGUGGGGAAUAUUGGACAAUGGGCGAAAGCCUGAUCCAGCCAUGCCGCGUGUGUGAAGAAGGUCUUCGGAUUGUAAAGCACUUUAAGUUGGGAGGAAGGGCAGUAAGUUAAUACCUUGCUGUUUUGCCGUUACCAACAGAAUAAGCACCGGCAAACUUCGU
rnacentral:rRNA from 1 species